UGUGCAACAGUGAACUCCUGCAAUUGUAUCAACUAUUUUAGCAAUAAUAAUAAUUAUAUGCAAAUAAACUUUAAGCAUCCUACAUUACUUUUAGAGCUAGAUGUACACCAGUCCAUACACCAUUGCUAGUAAGUCUACUUGACUUACAGUGCAGUUGCAGUAGAGGAAACAGCAAUGACAGUAAUAUACUAUUCAGUGGGCUCUCGAGACCAUUGCAACACUCUGCAGCUGCAUGCUGUGACGUAGCAAGAUUUACGGAGAUGGAAACAUAGAUUACGGAUUUUAGGGAGAGAUUUUAAGAGAUUUUGCGAGAUUUUAAGAUUUUAAGAUGAUUUUGCGAGAUUUUAAGAUUUUAAGGAGAUUUUGCGAGAUUUUAAGAUUUUAAGAUGAUUUUUCGAGAUUUUAAGAUUUUAAGGAGAUUUUGCCCACAGGCGUACAAGAUUUUAAGGAGUGGCGGACCCCUCGCUUGUGUAUCUACACGAACUCCUAGCUAGCUGUGAUCAGAAUGAAGAGAUGCUGUAGUCUCUGGAUUAUUAUCAAUGGUCUCCUCGUCAUGUCUUCUUGCAAACAACUGUCGAUACGCUUCCUCCACCUGUGUGUGUGAGGGAUCUGGGCAACAUGGAAUGAUGGAUCCUUGGCUGAUGUGAUGGUCUCCAACAGGUGACACGACACUGGACAGUAUGAGAACAUGGAACUGGACAAGGGGGUGUGGCAAUGGGGGUGUGCUGCUCUAAACUAUAACAUUUGUGGACUCUGUCAAGAGCUGCUUUAAGGAAAAGAUGUAGCUCUAUGGAAUGUGAGUCCCUCCCAGAGUUCAUAGUCCACCACACAAUGGAAGAGCUGUGUAUGCCUUGUUGACUGGUGCUCCCCCGAGACUCCGCCCCUUCCCCUGCCCAGCCCAUCCCUCGGAGGAGACCAGCUGGUGUACAACAAGCACUGGAGCAGGUGGGUGGGGUUUGCAGUGUAGGAAGAUUCCUAAGAACUGCUAUAUUAUGUUACGUAGGUAGAGUACGUACGUUCAAAGUUUGUUAGAGAAUCAUCUUAUUUGAAGCAUGUCUGUAGUUUUUGGUUGGGUCAAAAUGAUCAGUUUGCACAUUUAAAAAUUAAAGUUCAUUGAAGGACCUUCUAUAUUGUUUAAAAAAUAUUCACAAUAGCUUCAUGUAAUGGUGAAAAAACUUCAGAGAGGUCAGGGUUCACCCGUUACCCCAUUACCUUAUUACCGUACGUGCAUGUAGGUAGCUAUACAUGAACUUGAACAAGCUAUCACAAUUAUACACAGGUGUCAAUAUUAGUAAAACAUUCC